rnacentral:rRNA from 1 species
UACUCGAGUGGCGAACGGGUGAGUAACACGUGGGUGAUCUGCCCUGCACUUCGGGAUAAGCCUGGGAAACUGGGUCUAAUACCGGAUAGGAGCCAUUUUUAGUGUGAUGGUUGGAAAGUUUUUUCGGUGUAGGAUGAGCUCGCGGCCUAUCAGCUUGUUGGUGGGGUAAUGGCCUACCAAAGCGGCGACGGGUAGCCGGCCUGAGAGGGUGGACGGCCACAUUGGGACUGAGAUACGGCCCAG